GAUGAACGCUAGCGGCAGGCUUAACACAUGCAAGUCGAGGGGCAGCGCGGGAUAGCAAUAUCCUGGCGGCGACCGGCGGAAGGGUGCGUAAUGCGUGAGCGACAUGCCCGUUGCCCGGGGACAACCGGUGGAAACGCCGACUAAUCCCCGAUGGGAUAUUGUGCCGCAUGGCACGAUAUUGAAAGUUACGGCGGCGACGGAUUGGCUCGCGUCCGAUUAGCUGGUUGGCGGGGUAACGGCCCACCAAGGCUGCGAUCGGUAGGGGUUCUGAGAGGAAGGCCCCCCACAAUGGGACUGAGACACGGCCCAUACUCCUACGGGAGGCAGCAGUGAGGAAUAUUGGUCAAUGGGCGGAAGCCUGAACCAGCCAUGCCGCGUGCGGGAAGGAGGCCCUAUGGGCUGUGAACCGCUUUUGCCUGGGGGCAAUAAGGGCGUCGCGCACGUCCGAUGAGAGUACCAGGCGAAUAAGCAUCGGCUAACUCCGUG
rnacentral:rRNA from 1 species